AUGAUGGAAGUGAUGUGGGGUGACAGGAGGGGGCUCGAGAGCAGCCUAGGAGGAGCCGGGAGGGUGCUCCGUGCACCGGUGUCCAAGGGCGGCAUUUGCCGGAGGUGCCGUGGGAGCUGCGCAGCGCGGAGGGGAGCGGAGUGGACCGCGGCCGGGCAGCCGGAGCAGCCGCUUCCUUUGGGGCUGUUUCUUCGAAAGCGCACGUGGGGAAAGAGAAACGUGGGAACCCAGCCGCUGCUUGAGACCCUUCCUACAGGUGCACAGAGUACGAGCCCUCGUAGGGCGGGGAGGAGAGGGAGCAGCGGAGAGAGAAGGAUGUCCCUGUUGCUCUCCCUCCAAGCAUCUCCCCACGCGUGUGAGGGUCUGCAACCCGCACGCAGUUUCCGCGGCACGUCGGGGCUCUUCCAGCACAGACCAAUGCCGAGUCGUGGAGACUCAGUCCGGAGGCCUGGAGCUCCCCACGGCAGCAGCACUCACACAGUGCCACUCACCCCGCGUGUGCACACCUCCACACGCGGGUAUAUUUAUAAAAAGCUUCCUUGGGCGUUUUUCUCCCCGAACGAGUACGACUCCACUGCUGCGUCUUAUUUUUUUUUUUUUUUUAAGAGUAAAAUAACACUAAACCUCCUUCCCGUGGGUUCAUGUCCUUGCAUUAGCUGCGCUCUCCCGCAGCGUUCGCACCGCUACACAGCCCCUGCAGGACGCGCUCGCCGCUGUGCCCUGGGCAUCCACCCGUGUGCGGCCGCAGGGCUGCGGCUGUGCUCUGCGGCUGCCAUCGCGCACUCGCCAGGGCCGCACGGCCCCGUGCCCAGCGGUGGCUCCCCCGCCCUGGGGCCGCGGCGGGUGGUGGAGGGGAGGGGGCGAGCUCCGGCUGCCCCGCCGCACCGAGGGCUGCCCCCUCCGCAGCGCCUCGGCCCGGCGGUCACAGGCUGCGGGUGGUGGGUCUUGGGUGGCGAACGGAAUAAUAAUAAUAAUAACAAUAACAACAACAACAAUAAUAAUUCUUUUAUGACGAGGCAUUUUUGCAUUGCUGCGAAUUAUUUUUUUCGCUUACAGUGA
rnacentral:lncRNA from 13 species